GACAGAGGUGGCCGAGCGUUAGGCGGAAUCACUGGGCUUAAAGCGUGUGUAGGCGGAUCUGUAAGUACCUUGUGAAAUCCCACGGCUCAACCGUGGACUGCUUGGUAUCUGCGGGUCUUGAGCCACCUAGGGGCAAGUGGAACAAACGGUGGAGCGGUGAAAUGCGUAGAUAUCGUUUGGAACGCCAAUGGUGAAACAACUGCUGGGGUGUGCUGACGCUGAGACACGAAAGCCAGGGAGCAACGGG
rnacentral:rRNA from 1 species